UACGUAGGGUGCGAGCGUUAAUCGGAAUUACUGGGCGUAAAGGGUGCGUAGGCGGUUUGAUAAGUCUGAUGUGAAAUCCCCGGGCUUAACCUGGGAACUGCGUUUGAAACUACAAGGCUAGAGUGUGGCAGAGGGGGGUGGAAUUCCACGUGUAGCAGUGAAAUGCGUAGAGAUGUGGAGGAACACCGAUGGCGAAGGCAGCCCCCUGGGUUAACACUGACGCUCAGGCACGAAAGCGUGGGGAGCAAACAGG
rnacentral:rRNA from 1 species